GACCAGGUGGAGGGAUUAUAUCUCUUCGCUGGCCUGGGAGCGCCUUGGGAUCCCCCAGUCAGAGCUGGUUGAUGUCGCCAGGGAAAAGAAAGUUUGGGGCUCUCUGCUGGAACUGCUACCCCCGCGACCCGACCACGGAUAAGCGGAAGAAGAUGGAUGGAUGGAUUAACCAUACUUUACCUCGAGGACGGCAGGUCUGUGACAGUGUUUAAACUGUCGGGCGCAGACGCGGAGUUUCUGAAGAUGGACAUUUUUUUUAAAAUAAAAAAUACGGCAAUUCUCAAGUGGUGGCUCACACAACAACCCCAGAGCCACCUCCUGAGCCAGGUGAACAAGUCAUCACAGAUGAGCCAAACAGAGUAGAGGAUGAAGAAAGGAGAACAGGAGAAAGGGACACACAAGAAGGAGAUACAACA